rnacentral:rRNA from 1 species
GAUGAACGCUGGCGGCGUGCUUAACACAUGCAAGUCGAACGGGAAACCUUUUAAUGAAGCUUCGGCAGAUUUAGCUGGUUUCUAGUGGCGGACGGGUGAGUAACGCGUGGGUAACCUGCCUUAUACAGGGGGAUAACAGUCAGAAAUGACUGCUAAUACCGCAUAAGCGCACAGGACCGCAUGGUCCGGUGUGAAAAACUCCGGUGGUAAAAGAUGGACCCGCGUUGGAUUAGCUUGUUGGUGGGGUAACGGCUCACCAAGGCGACGAUCCAUAGCCGGCCUGAGAGGGUGAACGGCCACAUUGGGACUGAGACACGGCCCAGACUCCUACGGGAGGCAGCAGUGGGGAAUAUUGCACAAUGGGGGAAACCCUGAUGCAGCGACGCCGCGUGAAGGAAGAAGUAUCUCGGUAUGUAAACUUCUAUCAGCAGGGAAGAUAGUGACGGUACCUGACUAAGAAGCCCCGGCUAACUACGUG